CCUACGGGGGGCAGCAGUGAGGAAUAUUGGUCAAUGGACGAGAGUCUGAACCAGCCAAGUAGCGUGAAGGAUGACUGCCCUAUGGGUUGUAAACUUCUUUUAUAUGGGAAUAAAACGUUCCACGUGUGGGAUUUUGUAUGUACCAUAUGAAUAAGGAUCGGCCAACUCCGUGCCAGCAGCCGCGGUAAUACGGAGGAUUCGAGCGUUAUCCGGAUUUAUUGGGUUUAAAGGGAGCGUAGGUGGAUUGGUAAGUCAGUUGUGAAAGUUUGAGGCUCAACCGUAAAAUUGCAGUUGAAACUGGCAGUCUUGAGUACAGUAGGGGUGGGCGGAAUUCGUGGUGUAGCGGUGAAAUGCUUAGAUAUCACGAAGAACUCCGAUUGCGAAGGCAGUUCACUGGACUGCAACUGACACUGAGGCUCGAAAGUGUGGGUAUCAAACAGGAUUAGAUACCCCGGUAGUC
rnacentral:rRNA from 1 species